GGAUGCGAUCAUACCAGCACUAAAGCACCGGAUCCCAUCAGAACUCCGAAGUUAAGCGUGCUUGGGCGAGAGUAGUACUAGGAUGGGUGACCUCCUGGGAAGUCCUCGUGUUGCAUUCC
rnacentral:rRNA from 12 species